GGUGCUGGAAUUGGUAGACAGGCCAGAUUGAGGGUCUGGUGGGCGAUUCCAAGCCCGUGGAGGUUCGAGUCCUCUCCUGGGCA
rnacentral:tRNA from 1 species